GAUGAACGCUGGCGGCGUGCCUAAUACAUGCAAGUCGAGCGAACAGACGAGGGGCUUGCUCCUCUGACGUUAGCGGCGGACGGGUGAGUAACACGUGGAUAACCUACCUAUAAGACUGGGAUAACUUCGGGAAACCGGAGCUAAUACCGGAUAAUAUAUUGAACCGCAUGGUUCAAUAGUGAAAGACGGUUUUGCUGUCACUUAUAGAUGGAUCCGCGCCGCAUUAGCUAGUUGGUAAGGUAACGGCUUACCAAGGCGACGAUGCGUAGCCGACCUGAGAGGGUGAUCGGCCACACUGGAACUGAGACACGGUCCAGACUCCUACGGGAGGCAGCAGUAGGGAAUCUUCCGCAAUGGGCGAAAGCCUGACGGAGCAACGCCGCGUGAGUGAUGAAGGUCUUCGGAUCGUAAAACUCUGUUAUUAGGGAAGAACAAAUGUGUAAGUAACUAUGCACGUCUUGACGGUACCUAAUCAGAAAGCCACGGCUAACUACGUG
rnacentral:rRNA from 1 species